UAUUAUGGCCGUGCCACCCUGAACAAGCCUGAUCCCAUCUGAUCUUGGAAGCUAAGCAGGGUCAGGCCUGGUUAGUACUUGGAUGGGAGGAGACAACUUGGAAAUCAAAGAAA
rnacentral:rRNA from 1 species